GGAAGGAGCUCUGAAGAAAUCAAUUUGAAUAAAAACUCCCUGUUAGACCCUUUCUGUAUUUGCUGUCUUUCUCUGGAGUUUUUGCUUGGAAACCUCUGGCAAACAGCUAUCUUUGGGUGAGCUGAAAGAGUGUCAAACUAUCGAGAGACUCUUCCAUUGCCCUCUGCCCCCAUCAACUUGCUUCAGGAUCGGUGAAAUGGGAAUCAAAUGAGGAUGUCUGCUGGUAUCGGGAGGGCUUAAAGAACUGGAAGGCAGAAUUAAGCCCCUGGAUGGAUUCGUCUUGUAUUUAUUAA
rnacentral:lncRNA from 1 species